CGAGUGAAGCGGCAAAAGCUCGAAUUUGAAAUCCUCUUCGGAGGAGUUGUAAUUUGAAGCUGGUUCUUUAGGGAGUUUUGUUUUUGGCUGCGGAAGUGCCUUGGAACAGGCCGCCGUGGAGGGUGAGAGCCCCGUAUCGUGGCCAGCAAGAUUUUCGUACAAGGGCUAGCGAAGAGUCGAGUUGUUUGGGAAUGCAGCUCUAAGUGGGUGGUAUAUUCCAUCUAAGGCUAAAUAUGGGCGAGAGACCGAUAGCAAACAAGUACAGUGAUGGAAAGAUGAAAAGAACUUUGAAAAGAGAGUGAAAAAGUACGUGAAAUUGUUGAAAGGGAAGGGUAUUUGAUCCGACAUGGUAUUUAGAUGUCGCUUGCCCCCGUGGCGGGCGCUCCAUCUUUUUACUGGGCCAGCAUCGGUGCUGGGCGGGACAGGAGGUUUCUGUGAAUGUAGCCCCUCGGGGAACUUAUAGAACAGGAUUCAUACGUCUCUCCCCG
rnacentral:rRNA from 1 species